rnacentral:rRNA from 1 species
UACGUAGGGUGCGAGCGUUAAUCGGAAUUACUGGGCGUAAAGCGUGCGCAGGCGGUUUUGUAAGCCAGAUGUGAAAUCCCCGGGCUUAACCUGGGAAUGGCAUUUGGGACUGCAAGGCUCGAGUGCGGCAGAGGAGACUGGAAUUCCUGGUGUAGCAGUGAAAUGCGUAGAUAUGCGGAGGAACACCGAUGGCGAAGGCAAUCCCCUGGGCCUGUACUGACGCUGAGGAGCGAAAGCGUGGGGAGCGAACAGG